CAGUCGCCGCGGUAAUACGAAGGGGGCUAGCGUUGCUCGGAAUCACUGGGCGUAAAGGGUGCGUAGGCGGGUCUUUAAGUCAGGGGUGAAAUCCCAGAGCUCAACUCUGGAACCGCCUUUGAUACUGGGUAUCUUGAGUAUGGAAGAGGUGAGUGGAAUUCCGAGUGUAGAGGUGAAAUUCGUAGAUAUUCGGAGGAACACCAGUGGCGAAGGCGGCUCACUGGUCCAUUACUGACGCUGAGGUGCGAAAGCGUGGGGAGCAAACAGGAUUAGAUACCCCCGUAGUCCCUGUCUCUUAUAC
rnacentral:rRNA from 1 species